ensembl:lncRNA
AAUAUAAUACAUAUAAUGGAUAUCUCUAAUAUAAAAUAGCUAUACAUAAUAUAUAAUAGAUAUAAUUAAUGGAUAUAUCUAAUGCGUGUAAUAUAUCUAAUAUGUAUACCAUAUAUUAUAACGAAUAUAUAACGAAUAUUGUAAUUAAUAUUUAAUGAAUAUGAUAUAGAGAGAGGAUAUUGGAGAUAUAACAGAUAUAUCGAAUAUAUAUAAUAUAUAUGAUAUAUAUAAAAUAUAUAUUAUAUACAAUAUAUAUAUCGAAUAUAUCAAAUAUAUAUUAUAUUUUAUGGACCUACUAUAGGCUAUUUAAUGAUUUAUAUCAUGCUAGAUAAACUAAUUUAAUUUAAUUAAUUAGCCGAAGGAAACCUAUAUAUUUUUAUAGAGAUAUUUGUAAAUCUAAACAUUAAUUAAUCGGCAGUAAAUAUUUCUAUAUUAACGAGAUUUUAAUCUUUAUAAAACUAAUUAUGCCCACUAAAUUUAUAGAAAAUUUAUUAAUUAUCUCUAUAUUAAUAGAUAGGCGAGAUACACAUUAGACAUUCUUGAUCGACAACCUAUAGGCCCCAAUUUAACCAAAUUCAGCCGUUUUUAGCUAAAAUCAAAAGACAUUAAAACGGACAAAUGAGGGGACAGGAAAACGCAAAAAUUAAAGAAAGCCACCCAACCUGCCCCCAAAAAUGCAAGAUUUGGGUCCGGAAAGGUGAAAAACUGCAAGUUUUUUUUAAUUUCAACCUUUCCGAAGGGAUUAAUUAGCACUAAUUAGCUUGAUUGAUUUUCCAAAUUUUACAUUAAGCCACUGAACCCAGUCCUCAAACCACAUUUAUUUGGCUUUUGCCCCAAUUCGGACUUUUUCAAAGAAAUUAGCGCUUCGCGCUUAACGAGGAUGGUGUGGGGACUUAAUGAGCUAGGUUAAUUAGAGGCUGCUAGGGACUAAUUGCACUAAUUGAUUGUUGUAAUUGGAUGAGUUUAAAUGCACUGGUUGCUGGGACUGGCCCAGUAUGGACCAGUAUGAGGGCUCUGGAACUGGAGAUACUAAACUGGAUGUACUGGGGCUAUAGGCUGCUGGUACUGGACCAGUACAGACCAGUAGAGGGGCUGUGGCACCAGUACUGGCUGUACUGGGACCAGUACGGGAGCUCCGGCCCCUGUACUGCCUGUACUGGGACAAGUACAGGGGUCCCGGCACCAAUACUGCCUGUACUGGGACCAGUACGGGAGCUCCGGCACCUGUACUGGUGGUACUGGGACCAGUACGGGAGCUCCAGCACCUGUACUGGUGGUACUGGGACCAGCACGGGAGCUCCGGCACCUGUACUGCCCAUACUGGGACCAGUACGGGAGCUCCGGCACCUCUACUGCCCGUACUGGGACCAGUACGGGAGCUCCGGCACCUGUACUGGUGGUACUGGGACCAGUACGGGGGCCCCGGCACCUGUACUGGUGGUACUGGGACCAGUAUGGGAGCUCCGGCACCUGUACUGGUGGUACUGGGGCCAGUAUGGGAGCUCUGGCACCUGUACUGGUGGUACUGGGACCAGUACAGGAGCGCCAGCACCAGUACUGGUGGUUACUGGAACCAGUACAGGGGGUUCCGGCACCAUUACUGGUUGUACUGGGACCAUUAUGGGGGACCCAGCACCUGUACUGGUGGUACUGGGACCAGUAUGGGAGUGCCAGCACCAGUACUGGUGGUACUGGAACCAGUACAGGAGCUCCAGCAUCAUUACUGCCCAUACUGGGACCAGUGCAGGGGUUCCGGCACCAGUACUGCUCAUACUGGGACCAGUACGGGGGCUCCGGCACCAGUACUGGUGGUCCUGGGACCAGUAGGGGGCUGUGGCACCCAUUCUGGUGGUACUGG